UGAGGAGUAUUGCGCAAUGGGGGCAACCCUGACGCAGCAACGCCGCGUGAGUGAGGAAGGUUUUCGGACCGUAAAGCUCUGUCGAGCGGGAAGAAAUGCAUGGUGGCUAAUAUCCAUCAUGCUUGACGGUACCGCUAAAGGAAGCACCGGCUAACUCCGUGCCAGCAGCCGCGGUAAUACGGGGGGUGCGAGCGUUGUUCGGAAUUAUUGGGCGUAAAGAGCGUGUAGGCGGCCGAAUAAGUCAGAUGUGAAAUCCCUGGGCUUAACCCAGGACGUGCAUUUGAAACUAUUCGGCUGGAGUAGGGGAGAGGAAAGUGGGAUUCCUGGUGUAGAGGUGAAAUUCGUAGAUAUCGGGAGGAACACCGGUGGCGAAGGCGACUUUCUGGCCCUAUACUGACGCUGAGACGCGAGAGCGUGGGUAGCAAACAG
rnacentral:rRNA from 1 species